GGAGGAAUAUUGGUCAAUGGGCGGAAGCCUGAACCAGCCAAGUAGCGUGCAGGACGACGGCCCUAUGGGUUGUAAACUGCUUUUAUGCGGGGAUAAAGUGGGCCACGUGUGGCCUUUUGCAGGUACCGCAUGAAUAAGGACCGGCUAAUUCCGUGCCAGCAGCCGCGGUAAUACGGAAGGUCCGGGCGUUAUCCGGAUUUAUUGGGUUUAAAGGGAGCGUAGGCCGGAAGAUAAGCGUGUUGUGAAAAGUCGGGGCUCAACCUCGGCCUUGCAGCGCGAACUGUUUUUCUUGAGUACGCAGUAGGUAGGCGGAAUUCGUUGUGUAGCGGUGAAAUGCUU
rnacentral:rRNA from 1 species